rnacentral:rRNA from 1 species
GACGAACGCUGGCGGCGUGCUUAACACAUGCAAGUCGAACGGAAAGGCCCUGCUUUUGUGGGGUGCUCGAGUGGCGAACGGGUGAGUAACACGUGAGUAACCUGCCCUUGACUUUGGGAUAACUUCAGGCAACUGGGGCUAAUACCGGCUAGGAGCUCCUGCUGCAUGGUGGGGGUUGGAAAGUUUCGGCGGUUGGGGAUGGACUCGCGGCUUAUCAGCUUGUUGGUGGGGUAGUGGCUUACCAAGGCUUUGACGGGUAGCCGGCCUGAGAGGGUGACCGGCGACAUUGGGACUGCGAGAGGGCCCAGACUCCUACGGGAGGCAGCAGUGGGGAAUAUUGCACAAUGGGCGGAAGCCUGAUGCAGCAGCGCCGCGUGCGGGAUGACGGCCUUCGGGUUGUAAACCGCUGUCGCCUGUGACGAAGCGUGAGUGACGGUAAUGGGUAAAGAAGCACCGGCUAACUACGUG